UACGUAGGUGGCAAGCGUUGUCCGGAUUUACUGGGCGUAAAGAGCGCGCAGGCGGUCGUUCAAGUCGAGUGUGAAAGCCCCCGGCUCAACUGGGGAGGGUCAUUCGAUACUGAUCGACUCGAAGGCAGGAGAGGGAAGUGGAAUUCCCGGUGUAGUGGUGAAAUGCGUAGAUAUCGGGAGGAACAUCAGUGGCGAAAGCGACUUCCUGGACCAAUACUGACGCUCAUGUGCGAAAGCGUGGGGAGCAAACAGG
rnacentral:rRNA from 1 species